GCAUGGUGCUUGAUUAAUAGGCCCUACCUCUGGAAAGGGACCUGAUGAAACCCAUGAAUAGCCUGGAGUGGACUAUUCUGGCCUAUUUGUGUAGGCCUGCCAUCCAGACGUAGCCGGACAGAUACGACGUGCAGGGCUGAAGGGCUGCCACGACAAGCAAAAAUGAACGGGAGUGACAACUAUGUAAGCCAAUGAUGUAUGCGCAGAAACACAUGCGUCCAAUGAAAUCACUAAAGGAAUGUCCAUCCAACCCCCCGGAAGAAAAUAUGGCGAAACAUCACCGAGAGUGUAGAAGACAAUGCACCCAGAGCCAUUCUGUCAAGCAGCCAUUCUGCAGAAGAGGCGGUGGAAAGGCAUGCUGUGGUUGAAUCAUUUCCCCAACUGGGCUACUUUUGUGGUUGUUCUUCAUUUCUAAAUGACGGUAUUAUUUUUAUAUUUUUAUAAAGAAUUAAUCAAAAAUCAUCUCGCCAUAUUGAUAUAAUUGCUGACCCAUGUCCAUCUUAAGUGACUUACUUCACAAUAAAUCUUUCUCAAAUGCUCACAUUUUUACCAUGUUUCCAAAAUGCUGUUGAAAUCUCAGAUGCUAUGCAUAUAAUCACCAGUUCUCCUUGAUGUAGCCUGCAUAAUCUGUAGUAAUUGGCUUUGAAUAAUAAAGUGUGGGUGAGUAGAAAAGUGUGAUUCAGUUUGGUAAAGUUACCAAAAUGCCAUACAAUCUAUGUGAAAUAGCGUUACAGUUUAUCCAUUUCAGAAAUAGUUUAUCCACCUCUUAUUAGAGUUUAUCCACCUCAAAAGAGUUUAUUCACACAUUCAAAAAUCACACUGUAUCCACAUUCACAAUAUAGGCUACACUCAUCAACACUCUAGGAACCAUUUAAUUGGACAAUAACCUCCACCGUCAUCAAACAUGUUCUGAAUGCCUUCAGAAAAUCCAAUACCGUAUGGCGCUGUACACCUCACCGAGAUCACAAAAUUCAUAGU